GAGUUUGAUCCUGGCUCAGGAUGAACGCUAGCGGCAGGCUUAACACAUGCAAGUCGAGGGGUAACGGGGAAGCUUGCUUCCGCCGACGACCGGCGCACGGGUGCGUAACGCGUAUACAAUCUACCUUGUACUGGGGUAUAGCCUUUAGAAAUGAAGAUUAAUCCCCCAUAGUCUCUUAGAGUGGCAUCACUUCUAGAGUAAAGGUUACGGUAUAAGAUGAGUAUGCGUUCUAUUAGUUUGUUGGUGUGGUAACGGCACACCAAGACUACGAUAGAUAGGGGCCCUGAGAGGGGGAUCCCCCACACUGGUACUGAGACACGGACCAGACUCCUACGGGAGGCAGCAGUGAGGAAUAUUGGACAAUGGAGGCAACUCUGAUCCAGCCAUGCCGCGUGCAGGAAGACUGCCCUAUGGGUUGUAAACUGCUUUUAUACAGGAAGAAACACCUCUACGUGUAGAGGCUUGACGGUACAGUAAGAAUAAGGAUCGGCUAACUCCGUGCCAGCAGCCGCGGUAAUACGGAGGAUCCAAGCGUUAUCCGGAAUCAUUGGGUUUAAAGGGUCCGUAGGUGGAUAAUUAAGUCAGAGGUGAAAUCUUGCAGCUCAACUGUAAAAUUGCCUUUGAAACUGGUUAUCUUGAGUUAUUAUGAAGUAGUUAGAAUAUGUAGUGUAGCGGUGAAAUGCAUAGAUAUUACAUAGAAUACCAAUUGCGAAGGCAGAUUACUAAUAAUCAACUGACACUGAUGGACGAAAGCGUGGGUAGCGAACAGGAUUAGAUACCCUGGUAGUCCACGCCGUAAACGAUGGUUACUAGCUGUUUGGACUUCGGUCUGAGUGGCUAAGCGAAAGUGAUAAGUACCCACCUGGGGAGUACGUUCGCAAGAAUGAAACUCAAAGGAAUUGACGGGGGCCCGCACAAGCGGUGGAGCAUGUGGUUUAAUUCGAUGAUACGCGAGGAACCUUACCAGGGCUUAAAUGUAAGUUGCAUUAGUUAGAGAUAGCUAUUUCUUCGGACCACUUACAAGGUGCUGCAUGGUUGUCGUCAGCUCAUGCCGUGAGGUGUCAGGUUAAGUCCUAUAACGAGCGCAACCCCUGUUGUUAGUUGCCAGCGAGUCAUGUCGGGAACUCUAACAAGACUGCCAGUGCAAACUGUGAGGAAGGUGGGGAUGACGUCAAAUCAUCACGGCCCUUACGCCCUGGGCUACACACGUGCUACAAUGGUAGGUACAGAGAGCAGCCACUGCGCGAGCAGGAGCGAAUCUAUAAAACCUAUCACAGUUCGGAUCGGAGUCUGCAACUCGACUCCGUGAAGCUGGAAUCGCUAGUAAUCGGAUAUCAGCCAUGAUCCGGUGAAUACGUUCCCGGGCCUUGCACACACCGCCCGUC
rnacentral:rRNA from 1 species